GACGAACCGUGCAAACGUUGUUCGGAAUCACUGGGCUUAAAGGGCGCGUAGGCGGGCUUCCAAGUCGGUGGUGAAAUCUUUCGGCCCAACCGGAAAAGUGCCGCCGAUACUGGGAGUCUCGAGGGAGGUAGGGGUCGAUGGAACUUUAGGUGGAGCGGUGAAAUGCGUAGAUAUCACUUGGAACGCCAAUGGUGAAGACAGCUCGCUGGGGGGUGUCCUGACGCUGAGGCGCGAAAGCCAGGGGAGCGAACGGG
rnacentral:rRNA from 1 species